rnacentral:ncRNA from 1 species
GCCUGGUCCAUUACCUUAUUAUUAGCUAAAACAUAACUUAUACAUGCAAGUAUCCGCAUACCCGUGAGAACGCCCCAACCCUUACUAGGACAAGGAGCCGGUAUCAGGCACAGAAAACUCUAGCCCAUCACACCUAGCUUUAGCCACACCCUCAAGGGCAUUCAGCAGUAAUUAACUUUGUACAUAAGCGAAAGCUCGAUUCAGUUAUAGUUUUUAAGAGCUGGCCAAUUCGGUGCCAGCCGCCGCGGCUACACCGCAAGGCUCAAGUUAAUAAACAACGGCGUCAAGCGUGUUUAAAGUUACUUAUAUACUAGAGUUAAACCCCUAAUCCCAAAGUCAAACAUUGAUUAUUUAGAAACACAUAAACGAAAGUUACUCUAAAAACCUAACUUGAAUCCACGACAGCUAAGAAACAAACUGGGAUUAGAUACCCCACUAUGCUUAGCCAUAAAAUAUUAAUUACACUAAAACCGCCAAAAAACUACGAGCGCAAGCUUGAAACUUAAAGGACUUGACGGUGUCCCAUCUACCUAGAGGAGCCUGUUCUAUAAUUGAUGAUCCUCGUUAUACCUCACCUCUCUUAGCUUAUCAGUCUGUAUACUUCCGUCGUAAGCUUACCAUAUGAAUGUAUUAGUAGGCUAAACAGCUUAACCCCCUAAAACGUCAGGUCAAAGUGCAGCCCACAGAGAGGGAAGAAAUGGGCUACCGUUUCUAACUCAAGAACAAACGAACUAACAUUUUAAUAACUGUUAUGAAGGUGGAUUUAGAAGUAAAGUGAAAAUAGAGUGUUCACUUUAACAAUGCUCUGGGACGUGUACACACCGCCCGUCAUCCCCUUCAAUUCUUUAACCAAACAUUAAAUAAAUAUACUAAACUAUCAAGAAGGGGCAAGUCGUAACAUGGUAAGUAUACUGGAAAGUGUACUUGGAUAUCAAAAUGUAGUUUAAUAAAAACUCUUCGCUUACACCGAAAAAACAUCUUUUAAUAUAGAUCAUUUUGAGCCUCAAACUUAGUUACCUAAAUAUAACAUACCUCUAAUAUAAAACCUAAACAAAACAAAACAUUUAUACGACUUAGUAAAAGCGAUUAAAAUUCAAUUAAAAACUAUAAAUAAAGUACCGCAAGGGAAUAGUGAAAUAAAAUAUAAAAUACAAAGCACAAAAAAGUAGAGACACACCUCGUACCUUUUGCAUCAUGGUCUAACUAGAAAAAGCAAGCAAAACGUUAUUAAAGUUUGUAUUCCCGAAACUGAGUGAGCUACUUUUAAAUAGCUAUCGAGCCAACUCGUCUCUGUUGCAAAAGAGUGAGAAAAUUUUUAAGUAGAGGCGAUAAACCUACCGAACUCAGAGAUAGCUGGUUACUUGAGAAAAGAAUAUAAGUUCUGCCUUAAACUGCAUAAUGCAUAAAACACAAUACCUUUUAAGAGUUAUUCAAAUAGGGUACAGCCUAUUUGAAAUAGGAAACAACCUAAAAGACCGGGUAAUAAACUUAAUAGUAUUGAAGUAGGCCUGAAAGCAGCCAUCUUUCAAAAAGCGUCAAAGCUUAAAUAUAAUUAUAAAAAAAUUUUUAACUAACAAUCAAACCCGCCGCUAUUAUCAAGUAAUUUUAUAAAAAUAUAAAAAAUAUUAUGUUAGAAUUAGUAAUAAGAAAUUGCAUUUCUCCAAAAUAUAAGUGUAAUGCAGAAAUAAACCAAUAACUGCCAAUUACUGUACAUAAAUAUCAGGUAGUAACUUCACAAGAAAACCCUACCAAUAUAAACAUUAACCUAACACAAGAAUAUUGCCGGAAAGAUUAAAAAAAGAGGAAGGAACUCGGCAAACAUAAACCCCGCCUGUUUACCAAAAACAUCGCCUCUUGUUAAAUUAUAAGAGGUCCUGCCUGCCCCGUGAUUUAUUUUAACGGCCGCGGUAUCUUAACCGUGCAAAGGUAGCAUAAUCAAUUGUCUCUUAAAUUGGGACUAGUAUGAACGGCACCACGAGGGUUUAACUGUCUCCCCCUUUUAAUCAAUGAAAUUAACCUUCCCGUGAAGAGCCGGGAAUAUAACUAUAAGACGAGAAGACCCCAUGGAGCUUUAAACUUAUUGUCAUUUAUUUAAUAGUACAACACACUACCAGAUAAAAGUGCCUCAUAGUUUUUGGUUGGGGCGACCCUGGAGAAAAAUUAAUCCUCCAGAUUGAAAGGAUAAUAACCCUUAUAUAAGAACCACCAUUCAAAUAAACAAAAAUUUGACAAAACUGACCCAGAGUAACUGAUCAGUGAACCAAGUUACCCUAGGGAUAACAGCGCAAUCCAUUUCAAGAGCCCAUAUCGACAAAUGGGUUUACGACCUCGAUGUUGGAUNNNGGGGAUCCUAGCAGCGCAGCCGUNGCUAANGGU